UACGAAGGGGGCUAGCGUUGUUCGGAUUUACUGGGCGUAAAGCGCACGUAGGCGGAUUGGUCAGUUAGGGGUGAAAUCCUGGAGCUCGACUCCAGAACUGCCUUUAAUACUGCCAGUCUCGAGUCCGGAAGAGGUAAGGGGAACUCCUAGUGUAGAGGUGGAAUUCGUAGAUAUUAGGAAGAACACCAGUGGCGAAGGCGGCUUACUGGUCCGGUACUGACGCUGAGGUGCGAAAGCGUGGGGAGCAAACAGG
rnacentral:rRNA from 1 species